rnacentral:rRNA from 1 species
AGGAUAAACGCUGGCGGCGUGCCUAAUGCAUGCAAGUCGAACGGGAAGUCUUUCGGGACUCGACCGUGGCGGACGGGUGAGGAGCACGUAGCUGACCUGCCCUGGUGUGGGGGAUAUCCUCGGGAAACCGAGUGUAAUACCGCAUGUGCUUUCAUGGAGGGAUCCGUGAAAGGAAAGCCGAGAGGCGUACCAGGAGGGGGCUGCGUCCGAUUAGCUAGUUGGUGGGGUAACGGCUCACCAAGGCUCCGAUCGGUAUCC